CCAGACAAUUUUACUCUUCAAUGGCAGAGUACCGUCAGUAAAUGGGUUAACUAAGUGGACUCACCAUUCUUUCUACAAAAUAUCAUUCUAGACUGUGGCAUCAAUUGACACUAAAGUUGCUGGAAUUUGUCAAAAAUGAUUAUUUUGCAAGCAAUGGAGGAUUACUAGAUGUAUGUCACGAAAUUUUAUUGUAACAAGUACGGUAUUUGUCCUGUAAGAAAAACUAAAAAAUUUUAAAAUAUAUGUUUGUGAAUUAUUUUGUAUUUUUUUCAGUUGUACGAGAAUUUCCUUUCUGAUUUUGAAAACAAGUAAGUCGCUGGCUCACCACAAAUUUCAUUAUGAUAGCACAAUUAUAUAUAGGAGCCAUGACUUUCCCAAUUUUAUACAGGGUUCCAGAUGAUUUUUGCCAUGUUUACCAUGGAGAAUCAUCUGCUAUUUCUCCAGAUUAUAAUGUGAACUAAAAUUUCCCUCCUUACCAAAGAAAUCUCACACAAAAGAUUUCUUGCUAAUAUAAAUUUUACACAAUAUUCUUUGCUAAAUAUUUGGAUAUGAUAAAAUCUACAAAAUAACUGGAAAUGCCAUUCUGAAAUGUAUUUCAAAACUGUCGACGCCCUUGAACCCCCCUUUGGUGAGAAACCUUUGACACCACGUAGCCUCUUACUUCUUUACAAAAACCUGUAAAUUGUAUUGGAAAGCUUGUUUAAUUGCAGUGAAACAGUUGUGUAUUUUUAUUGCAGAAUUAAUCCGUUAUCGUUAAUGGAAAUUAUAAUGUCAGUGAUGAAAGAAAUCGAGG
rnacentral:lncRNA from 1 species